rnacentral:rRNA from 1 species
CACGUAGGGGGGCAAGCGUUGUCCGGAUUUAUUGGGCGUAAAGAGCUCGUAGGCGGCUCAGUAAGUCGGGUGUGAAAACCUCCAGGCUCAACCUGGAGACGCCACCUGAUACUGCUGUGGCUAGAGUCCGGUAGGGGAGCGUGGAAUUCCUGGUGUAGCGGUGAAAUGCGCAGAUAUCAGGAAGAACACCCGUGGCGAAGGCGGCUCUCUGGGACGGUACUGACGCUGAGACGCGAAAGCGUGGGGAGCGAACAGG